GGGGCCAUGGCUUAGUGGUACCGCAUUUGCUUUGCUUGCAGAAGGUCACAGGUUUAAUCCCUGGCAUCUCCA